GAGUAAUCCAUCUACGGAGGACGACUCAGAGGGACUGGACAUAAGUUGUUCAAAUAGUGUUGAAAAAUCUUCAGCAGUAUCUGAGCCGAAGGCACGAUAGCAUCGCGUCGGUGCAGCCCGUUUAACAACAGGACUAAGAGGAACAACGUCAAAUAAAAUGGGCAUAUGAUCAGAGAAUACAGCAUCCUCCACAUGUGGUAUAGAGGAAGUCCUUGUUGCCCAGCCCUGCCCUAGGGUGUGAUGUUCCUGCCCUCAGUCCAGCCAGAACAGCUUAUCUACCAUUAGCUCAUUAUAUCCUGUAGAUAAAGUUCUGUCCUGGUGUGUUCCUUGGCUGGACUCAAGUCAGAAGCAAGGCUCCCUUUGUUCACCUGCAAAGGACGGAUUUCCCAUAAACCCAAGCUGAUCUCAUUCAGACUCACCCAGGAAUCUCACACGUCUUCUCACUCUCCACCAGCCCUGACACCCGAAGCCUUUGCCUGCCUCCCCCGCCUGCAAAUCACAAGGGAAUCACAAUUCUCUGGUGGUAUCCUCCCUCGUCCCUGUGCUUAAAGAAAACUUAUUUUAACGCGUGCCUCUGUCUGAGAAUCCUGUCAAAAUAAAAGCUCC
ensembl:lncRNA